rfam:Salmo salar isolate Sally breed double haploid chromosome ssa20, whole genome shotgun sequence.
UUCACUCACUAGCGUAAGUCACUCUGGAUAAGAGCGUCUGCUAAAUGACUCAAA